GUUAGGAAUCUUGCGCAAUGGGCGAAAGCCUGACGCAGCAACGCCGCGUGCGGGAUGAAGGCCUUAGGGUUGUAAACCGCUUUCGGCAGGGACGAAAACAGACGGUACCUGCAGAAGAAGCCCCGGCCAACUACGUGCCAGCAGCCGCGGUAACACGUAGGGGGCGAGCGUUGUCCGGAUUUAUUGGGCGUAAAGAGCUCGUAGGCGGCUCGGUAAGUCGGGUGUGAAACCUCCAGGCUCAACCUGGAGACGCCACUCGAUACUGCCGUGGCUAGAGUCCGGUAGAGGAGCGUAGAAUUCCUGGUGUAGCGGUGAAAUGCGCAGAUAUCAGGAGGAAUACCAGCGGCGAAGGCGGCGCUCUGGGCCGGUACUGACGCUGAGGAGCGAAAGCGUGGGGAGCAAACAGGAUUAGAAACCCGAGUAGUCC
rnacentral:rRNA from 1 species